AUACGGAGACUGCAAGCGUUAUUCGGAUUCACUGGGCGUAAAGGGUGCGCAGGCGGCUAGAUGUGUCAGGUGUGAAAUCCCGGGGCUUAACUCCGGAACUGCGCCUGAAACUGUCUAGCUAGAGUCUCGGAGAGGUAAGCGGAAUUCCAGGUGUAGCGGUGAAAUGCGUAGAUAUCUGGAGGAACACCAAAGGCGAAGGCAGCUUACUGGACGACGACUGACGCUCAGGCACGAAAGCGUAGGUAGCGAAAGGGAUUAGAAACCCCUGUAGUCC
rnacentral:rRNA from 1 species